GACAGAGGCCCCGAGCGUUAGGCGGAAUCACUGGGCUUAAAGCGUGUGUAGGCGGAUCGUUAAGUGUCUUGUGAAAUCCCACGGCUCACCCGUGGAACCGCUGGGCAUACUGGCGAUCUUGGGCCGUUCAGGGGCAACUGGAACAAGCGGUGGAGCGGUGAAAUGCGUAGAUAUCGCUUGGAACGCCAAUGGUGAAAACAGCAGGCUGGGGGUGUGCUGACGCUGAGACGCGAAAGCCAGGGGAGCAAACGGG
rnacentral:rRNA from 1 species